CUGGUCACCUUCUCAUUUGCAAAAGUUCUAUCCCCGUUUUCCACCAUUUAUCCUUUAUUUUUCUUUUCCAAUUUAUUUAUACUUUGGGUUUCUCAUAUAAGAGAAAGAUGGGUAUUUAAGCUCAUGUGUCUGAUUUAUUUCACUUAACAUUAUGGUCUCAAAGUGCAUCCAUUUUCCUACAAAUGACUCAUUUAUCUUUGUUUUUGGCAGAGUAGUACUCCAUGGUGUAUAAAUACCACAUUUUUCUUACCUGUUCAUCUGUUGAUGGGUAUAUGAAGGGAAGGGAAGAGGAGGAAAGGAGAUGAAAAAAGGAAUGAAGAUAUGUUCUGUACACGUACCAACUCCACACAAGGAAGGUGAACGAAGGCUGCUCGCCCACCAACCCCGCGGCGCCCUUCUCCCCCGAAAGCUGGUAUCGGAAAGCCUACGAAGAGUCGCGCGCGGGGAGCCGGCCCACCCCCGAGGGCGCGGGCUCGGCGCUCGGCUCGUCGGGGACCCCGUCUCCCGGCUCGGGCACCUCAUCCCCGAGCUCCUUCACUGGCUCUCCGGGGCCCGCGUCCCCGGGCAUCGGCACCAGCUCCCCGGGCUCCCUGGGCGGCUCGCCGGGCUUCGGCACGGGCUCCCCCGGCUCCGGGAGCGGCGGCGGCUCCUCCCCCGGCUCGGACCGUGGCGUCUGGUGCGAGAACUGCAACGCCCGACUGGUGGAGCUGAAGAGGCAGGCACUCAAGCUGCUUCUCCCGGGGCCCUUCCCUGGCAAGGUGAGCGCGGGGCGGGGACGGCGGGCGGGUGACCCCGGAGCGCGGGGUGCGACCGCGGACCACAGCCUGGACCACGCGCCUCGCCGCCCCGGAGGGGCCCCGGCGGCCGGGCGGGGGGCUGGUGCACACCCCGGGGACGCCAGCUCGGGUGGCCACCCACCUGGGUCUCUCUGCGAGGACCCCUGGGGAAGGGGAGUUGGUUCCCAGAGGGACGGAGCCUAAAGCUUCAGGCUCUGGGUUCCGGAGGGACGCCCCCAGGUGGCUCGUCCUCCUGUCCAGCCAGCGGGACCGCAGGCUGCUCGUUAGCCCCCAUCGGUGAUCCCUUAGAAUGUCAGUGGGGGCAGUCACAGCGAGCCGGUGUUUGGGAGGGCGUGUUUCCCAUCGCUUGGUACAGAAGCCGAG
rnacentral:lncRNA from 1 species